ensembl:lncRNA ice-structuring glycoprotein-like
UAAGCCUGCAGUAAAGCAAAGUAAACUUGACUCAUGGCUUUUGAAGGGAACUCACAUUGGGCUAGUCACUCAGUUACCCAAAAAUAAAUUUGAAAUAAAGACUUACCUAUUUUUUCGAGAUUCCAUGUCUUCCAAAACUCCUUUCUUUAAACAAAGCAGAAAGAGUUCUUAUCCAAGGAGGUCCAAAGCAGAAAAGAGUCCAAUCCAAGAAGGUCCAAAAGCAGAAAGGAGUCCUGAUCCAAAGGGGGUCCAAAGGCAAAAUGGAGGGUCCCUCACAAAUCCGACUGUAUUUAUGUGAAUCUGCACUAAGCCCCACCCACCUGAAUUGAAUUGACCAACCUGGAUCAGCCAUAUAACUCCACCCACCUGCUACGGCCACCAUUUUGUCACAAGGGUGUUGUUCACACAUAAAAAUUACUUUUACUACUUUUAUUAUUACAAUUUCUGGUAGGCAGUGUUCCCCUCCAGGAAAUGACACUAUUAGAAUGCCAAUAUCUCAGAAGGACAAAAUCACACAGGAAUUGGCCUUACAUCUACACACAGUCCUGAAUUACAGCUUUAACCAUUCAGCUGUGACCUUCCUAUCAGUUUGGAGUUGGAGACGGGAAUGGAUGUCGCAGAGGGUGAUUAGACAUAACCUACCAUUUGAUUGUGUCUUUUUGGUUACGAUGUGGAUAUUUAUUCCAUCUUUUUAUUCUUUUGCAUUUACAGGAUGCACUUGGCCCAGAUGGACGUAGCGGGUACCAGCACGUCACCGCUCUGGCCCACGCCAUAGGAGAGCUGUGUCAUCACACGUAUGUGACGCAGCUAAAGGCCAGAGAGAUCGUCGCCUUGUGGGAGAAGCUGCUGGAUCAUGACAAGGCACCAGAUGCCUUCCCCCCGCGCCGGUUGGUGACAGGCCGCUUUAAGAGCUCGCGGUCAAGCAGCAUUGCCGGCGUGGACAGCGUGCAGCGUUCCUUUCUAGGCAAAGGUGCGGGCGCUGCUCAGUCCCCUAAAGUCAGCAGGCUGGUGGAGGCCAUCUUCCUGAAGCUGUGUGACGUCCACAGUGAGGGACGUUCACUGGGCGGGGUCCAGGACAGUCGCUGCGCUUCCGUCCUGAGGGACUACAACACCACCCGGGACGUUGUAGUCAGCUGCCCCACGCUGAUGACCAACACCUCCAUCCACCUCUACAACGUCAACCAGAAGACGCUCCUGACGUGGCACACAAUGAGGAGCAAGGGAAUGAUGUGGUCAGACCAAGAACAGACGGUAUGGCCACAGCAGUUACAGGGGAGAGUUCUUCUUUGCCACAUCGGAGGGUCGCUCUGUGGAUGACUGGUUGAAAGAGAAGAGACGACUGGAUCCGAAAUGUAGGUCUUUAGAUGAUUAUAUUUGCCUGUGUGUGUGUGGAGCGUCUGUCUGACCUCUGAUCUGUUUUAUUCUCUACAGACCAGCAGCCGCGCAGGUGAAGAACAAUCCACGACAAUGCAUGUGACUCCUUUUCAUCUUUUUUCUAAUUGCAGGAGACACCAACUUCACGUGCAGCAUAGUGUCACCUGUAUAUAGUUUGUGUAAUUUGCUUACAUAUAUUUUGUGUGUAUUUGAAAAUCUAUCUAAUUUUAAUAGAGUAUUUUGUUACAAAUUUGUAUUGUACAUAGUUUAAUUUUACUGUUGACAAUGUUCUCAAGCUAAUUCAAUUGAUGUUUUUGUUACAUAAAAAAUCUUUUCAAAGGAUCAGUUCAGUGUUGACAUCUUUUCUUUGUAAUUACAUAAUGUAUAAUUUAUAAAUCUGAUGUGAACCAGGUGAAUGAUGAUGAUCGCACAUGAUCGUAUUGAUCCAUCAGGCCAGAUCUAAUGAGAGUGUAGAACAUUUGAUCUGACCUGUGUGUCCCUCACUGACAGCUGUGUGACAGCUGAUCAUGAGUCAGAGCCACCAGGAAGACACUCGCCCAAUCACCAGCUCCCAAUCACGUUCCCUUUAUUCCAGGAAGACGAUCGUUCAGGGUAAAAGGCCCAUCCCCUGCCGACGGCCCCAGGUGGUCUAGGCGGCUCACAAUACCCAUUGUAUGUCCUGUAGGUGUGACUCUGUGGGGGGCAGGUAGGAGCUCCAUGAAGGCUGCCUGGAUGAGGCUGAAGUGUCAGGCUGCACCAACUUUAGGGAACUCCACAAAGAAGAAAUGGAAAGACUUAGGAAGGCGAGAUUUCACUGGAUUCUAAGUGAAAGAGCUAAACACAGACAGUUGACAGCACAAAACUUCUUUGUCACCUCAUCUUUAUCAUUCAUCACAUGCUAAACUAUUCUUUACAGAACCUCCUCUCAGAAAAACUAAGAGAG